rnacentral:rRNA from 1 species
UUUAAAGUCUAACCUGCCCAAUGAAAAAUUAAAUGGCUGCGGUAAUUUGACCGUGCAAAGGUAGCAUAAUCAUUAGUUUUUUAAUUAAAAGCUGGAAUGAAUGGUUGAACGAGAAAAAUACUGUCUCAAUUUAAAUUAAUUAGAAUUUUAUUUUUAAGUUAAAAAGCUUAGAUGGAAUUAAAAGACGAGAAGACCCUAUAGAGUUUAAUAUAUAAAUAUUAUGUUUAAAUUAAUUAAUUAUUUAUUUAAUGUUUGUGUAUUUUGUUGGGGUGAUAGAAAAAUUUAAUGAACUUUUUUUUUAUAUUAACAUUGAUUUAUGAAUAAAUGAUCCAUUAUUAAUGAUUAUAAGAUUAAAUUACCUUAGGGAUAACAGCGUAAUUUUUUUAAGAGUUCUUAUCGAAAGAAGAGUUUGCGACCUCGAUGUUGGAUUAAAAUAAACUUUUGGCGCAGAAGCUAGAAAGUUAGGUCUGUUCGACCUUUAAAAUUUUACAUGAUCUGAGUUCAAACCGG